rnacentral:rRNA from 1 species
AAAGGUAAGCUAUUAAGAGCGAAUGGUGGAUGCCUUGGCUGGUAAAGGCGAUGAAGGACGUACUAGACUGCGAUAAGCUACGGGGAGCUGUCAAGAAGCUUUGAUCCGUAGAUUUCCGAAUGGGGCAACCCAGUAUAUAGAGAUAUAUACUACCAUAAUGGAGCGAACGUAGGGAAUUGAAACAUCUUAGUACCUACAGGAAAAGAAAUCAAUAGAGAUUGCGUCAGUAGCGGCGAGCGAAAGCGCAAGAGGGCAAACCCAGUGCUUGCACUGGGGGUUGUAGGACUGCAAUGUGCAAUAGGUGAGGUUAGUAGAACACUCUGGAAAGUGUAGCCAUAGAGGGUGAUAGUCCCGUAUACGAAAACCAAACCUUAGCUAGCAGUAUCCUGAGUAGGGCGGGACACGAGGAAUCCUGUCUGAAGCUGGGUCGACCACGAUCCAACCCUAAAUACUACUACCAGACCGAUAGUGCACAAGUACCGUGAGGGAAAGGUGAAAAGAACUGAGGUGAUCAGAGUGAAAUAGAACCUGAAACCAUUUGCUUACAAUCAUUCAGAGCACUAUGUAGUAAUACAGUGUGAUGGACUGCCUUUUGCAUAAUGAGCCUGCGAGUUGUGGUGUCUGGCAAGGUUAAGCACACGCGAAGCCGUAGCGAAAGCGAGUCUGAAUAGGGCGCUUAAGUCAGAUGCUGCAGACCCGAAACGAAGUGAUCUAUCCAUGAGCAAGUUGAAGCUAGUGUAAGAACUAGUGGAGGACUGAACCGAUAGGCGUUGAAAAGCCCCCGGAUGACUUGUGGAUAGGGGUGAAAGGCCAAUCAAACUUCGUGAUAGCUGGUUCUCUCCGAAAUAUAUUUAGGUAUAGCGUUGUGUCGUAGUAUAAGGGGGUAGAGCACUGAAUGGGCUAGGGCAUACACCAAUGUACCAAACCCUAUCAAACUCCGAAUACCUUAUAUGUAAUCACAGCAGUCAGGCGGCGAGUGAUAAAAUCCGUCGUCAAGAGGGAAACAACCCAGACUACCAGCUAAGGUCCCUAAAUCUUACUUAAGUGGAAAACGAUGUGAAGUUACUUAAACAACCAGGAGGUUGGCUUAGAAGCAGCCAUCCUUUAA